UGGGGUGUCCACAGCCUCCUUGGGCAACCUGUUUCAGUGCUUCACCACCCUCUGAGUGAAAAACUUCCUCGUAAUGUCUAACCCUAGACCUCCCCUGUCUUAGUUUAAAACCAUUUCCCCUUGUCCUAUUGCUAUCCAACCUUGUAAAAGAUAGGAUCUGAGAGAUCUGCUCUCCCUGCAGUUGUUGUGGAUAGGUUUGUGUUCUCUGAGCUGAGAGGAAAGCCAUAUAGGCAGCAAUUUGCCUUUUAAGGUUUUGCUUCACUGCAUACCAUGCCUCACUGACUCGCACAGCUCCUUUCAGGCACUUCCUCGAUUUUAAUGUGGUGCCGUUUCCAUAAUAUGUAAUAAACACCACUGAGGCUGAUAGUUCAGUUUUGAACAGGGUGGAUGUAGUGAGAUCCCUGAUGCUGGAAGAAUAACAAGGCUGAAAAGUCCUCUGCGCUUCAAUAUGCACUACUGCUUGCUGCACUGUGCCAUAAUGAAAGCUGAAUGCCUGCCUUCCUCCUCACUUCUCACACAGUAACACUUUAUCUGAGGGGAAAACCGACAGUCUGUAGUUACUGCAGAAACCACUCCCAGCUGAGACAGGGUAAGUGAAGGGAAUAGAAAUGAGAGAGAGAGAGAGGUGUGCGUGGUUGUCAUAUGAUCUCUGCAGCAUCCCCGCACUGUUGCAAAUUCACCCAUACGUUUCUGGGUUUAUGCUAAGUUUGUGGAUUUGGACUGUCUGACUGGCACCUUCUCUUGGCAUGUUAGUUCUGUCUGCCCCUCCCUUCUACAGAGCUGAGUGUGUGGAUGGAGGUAUGGAAAUGCUCUGCGUAGGCAGUGAAGCGACCGCAUCUGAUAAGGAAGUCCUGAGCUCUAGGAACUGCUGUACAUGGGAGGAUUUAAAUGUGCUUUCAGAUUGCUAAUGGGGGAUUUCUACCUUGGUGUGCUGCUUGAAAAAGCAGAGGGUUUAAAGCUGAAGCCAUCCCGAGAGUGAAUGGUUCUCUGCAGUUUUGUUUUGGCCUUCGGUGGAGGAGCUGCUGAGGGGAAGGGAUGUGUUUGCAAAAUUACAUUCCUGCUAAUCUGUACAUGAACUGUGACAACACGAGGGCUACCCCAAAAGUGAUGGCCAGGUAAUGGCUGUUUACAGUGAGGACCUCGCAUGGAUCAGCUGCAACAAGGGAUCCUGGAGAUCCAGGUCUUGGAGAACAGAAGAGGUGUCUGAAUAGUGGAGGAUAGCCAGUGUCACUGCGGAAAGGGAAAGAAGGAGGAUCUGGGAGACUACAGGCCAGUCAGUCUCCCCUCUGUCCCUGGGAAAGUGACAGAACAGCUUGUUCUGGAUGCACCUCUGAGCAAUUGGAAGACAAGUUAUCAGGUGUAGUCAGCGUGGAUUCUCCGAGGGGAAAUCAUGCUCAACCAAUCUCGUAGCCUUCUAUGAUGGAUGGGUAGAUGAGGGGAGAGCUGUGGAUGUUGUCUAUGUUGACUUCAGCAAGGCUUCUGAUGCUGUCUCCCAUGUCAUCUUGAUAACGAAGCUGAGAAAGUGUGGGAUAGAUGAGUGGACAGUGAGGUGUGUUGAGAACUGGUUGUGCUGAAAGGGCGGUGAUCAGUGAUGCAGAGUCCAGUUGCAGACCUGUGACUAGCAGUGCUCCCCCAGGGGUCAGUGAUCUGGUCUUGUUCAGGGUCUCCAUGAAUUACCUUGAUGAGGAGAUAGUGUCCGCUCUCAGCGGGUACGCUGAUGCUACAGAGCUGGGAGGAGUGACUGACAUCUGAUGGCUGUGCUGCCAUUCAGCAAGAGCUGGACAGGCUGGAGAGCUGGGCAGUAAGAAACCAGGUGAGGUUUAACAAAAGCAGGUGUAGAGUCCUGCAUCUGGGAGGAAAUAACUGCAAGUAUCACUAUAGGUGGUUGCAUGACAUUCUGGAGAGGAGCUCUGUGAAGGACCUGGGGGUCCUGGUGGACAAAAGUUUGGCCAUGAGCCCUUGUGUAUGCCCUUGUGGCCAAGAGUGUCAAUGGAAUCCUGGGGUGCAUUAAAAGGAGCAUGGCCAGCAGGGCAAGAG